rnacentral:rRNA from 1 species
UAUGGACCAGGAUUAGAUACCCUGUUACUUCCGUGAUAAAAUUUUGGAGUAUUAAAAAUUUUGAAAUUUAGCGGAUUUGGCGGCAAGAUAGCCCAUUUAGAGGAACCUGCCCUGUAAACGAUGAGCCACGAAUUACUUCACUUUCUUUUGUAAUCAGUUUGUAUACCGCUGUUGUUAGUCAGUUUUAAUAGAAAACUUUCAAUAAUGGAAAUACCAUUGACUUCAAGUAAAGGUGCAGCUUAUAAGAAAGAUAGAGGUGGGUUACAAUUUUAAGAGAAAUACGAAAAGCAGAAUGAAAAACUGCUUGAAGGUGGAUUUAAUUGUAAAGUUAAAAAUAACUUGAUAAGAGCACUAACUUGUGUACACACCGCCCGUCGCUCUCUUUUAUAAA